rnacentral:tRNA from 1 species
GGAGUGUAUAGCUCAAUUAGUAGAGCAUUGGGCAUUUAACCUAAUAGUCGCAGGUUGAGGUCCUGCUAUAUCCA